rnacentral:rRNA from 1 species
GACGAACGCUGGCGGCGUGCUUAACACAUGCAAGUCGAGCGGUAAGGCUCCUUCGGGAGUACACGAGCGGCGAACGGGUGAGUAACACGUGAGCAAUCUGCCCUUCACACUGGGAUAACCCCCGGAAACGGGAGCUAAUACCAGAUACGACCACUUCGGGCAUCCGAUGGUGGUGGAAAGUUCCGGCGGUGAAGGAUGAGCUCGCGGCCUAUCAGCUUGUUGGUGAGGUAAUGGCUCACCAAGGCUUCGACGGGUAGCCGGCCUGAGAGGGUGACCGGCCACACUGGGACUGAGACACGGCCCAGACUCCUACGAGAGGCAGCAGUGGGGAAUAUUGGACAAUGGGCGAAAGCCUGAUCCAGCAACGCCGCGUGAGGGAUGACGGCCUUCGGGUUGUAAACCUCUUUCAGCAGGGACGAAGCGAAAGUGACGGUACCUGCAGAAGAAGGACCGGCCAACUACGUGCCAGCCGCCGCAGUAAGAC